rnacentral:misc_RNA from 1 species
UCCGAUUUGAAUAUCGGCAGUCUCGCUAGAGUGCCCGGCCGAACCGCUGGCAACUAACGACGAGGGUUGCGCUCGUUGCGGGACUUAACCCAACACCCCACGGCACGAGCUGACGACAGCCAUGCAGCAUCUGUGCGCGCUCCCUUGCGGGUCCUUCCCCUUUCGGGGUCGUACCACGCGCAUGUCAAACCCAGGUAAGGUUCUUCGCGUUGCAUCGAAUUAAUCCACACGCUCCACCGCUUGUGCGGGCCCCCGUCAAUUCCUUUGAGUUUCAGCCUUGCGGCCGUACUCCCCAGGCGGGGCACUUAAUGCGUUAGCGCCGGCACCCAGGGGGUCGCUCCCCCAGGCACCUAGUGCCCAUCGUUUACGGCGUGGACUAC